GAAAAGCAAGACUAGGCAUCAGCAGCAGAAAGGGAGUGGCAGAGCUGUCCAUGGCCACCCAUGCAGAUGGCAAAAAUCCAGGUGCAUAAGGAAGGACUGGGCUCUGAAAGAAAAUUAACAGAUCUAGGGUUAGCUGAAUGUAAUGGAAGAGACUAAGGGAUAUGAGAGGCAAAUAAUACCUUAGCAAGAUGCAAAUGGUAUUUUAGCAAGAUUUUGCAUGGAGAUAUAUAAAAGAAGCAAUAUCUGAAGAAUGAAACAAUACCUUUUAUCAGACAAGACCGAUACAGCUGCCAGCAGCUUCGAGAAGCCACAGCACAGAGAGGGAAAGGAGAGGUACAGUGGGAUCCCAGCCACAAAGAUCUACCUUCUCACAAAAACCAGAGAGAUACAACUAUCUUUGACAUGAUUUGCACAUGGACCUCCUGAUUCACAGUCUUAUGGUCCAGUUCAUAGAUAAUGCUCAUUGAGACCCCUAAGAUAUGCACUGGGACUAGACGAAAAAUAUAAGAAAACAGUAAAGAGUUUUGCAGACCAUGUGCUGGAAGUCAUCAUCUGGAUUCUGAUAUUACAGAGGAGACAAUCUUGGUGAACUGUGGUUGAAAAAAGCAUUAUAUAUUAAGAAGAAAUCUGAAAAGGAAGUGUAAGGAGAUGAACUCACCAUGCUCAACAUACCACAAAGUUUUGAUAGAGGCAUAAAGGAGAUGCCAGCUGCUAUGGACUGAGGCACAGCAUGGCCCAACAAAGAACUGUGCUGGUUAUAGUGCAGCAAGGCAGCUGUCUCUCCCUGGUGAAAGGAUGAUCCCAGAGAGCCCAGCUCUGACACGGGCAUACAGCCCAUCUUCAUUUCUCUCUCUGUCCUGACACUCUCCAUCAGACCCUGUGGGCUUUUUUUUCCCCCUGUGUCUCCGGUAGUGCUCAGUCUCCUCCCUGCCUCCUGCAGCCUCAAGCCUGUGCUGCAGCCAGCCUGCAUGCUUCAUUCCUCAGGAGCAGCUGUGACACAAGUUAAACAAGGAGCCACAGAAGGUUUCGCAAGAAAGACCAAAAAACAGAAAAGAGGAAUCAGUUCCAGAAGUGGUUAAUUUUAUGUCAAAAUGAAGUGUGAAGCCUGUUUUGGCAGCAGAACCCAGGAAAGUGAGACAUUCUCAGAAGUUACUCUGCAAAUUUAGGCUCCAUGCCAAGCUUUACCCUGUUUCUUCCAGGUGUGUUGAAGAAAUUUGUUUCUUCUGUCUCUUUGCCUGACAACUGCAUCAUAACUAGAAAUAAGAUAUUGGAUCUCAAUUGCCAUUGGCACUGCACUUACUGAACACUUACUUUAUUUCCUGCAACCAGUGCAUUACAUGUGGAUUCAAAAUGAGGAGACAACAGGUCCAGUUGAAGAAAACAACACCCAAACUGAUUCCAUUAAAAUACUCAAUAUAUAAAGGAAUAUUUUAAACACAAUAGCAAGAAGCAAUAAAACAUCACACUCUUAACAGUACCAUAAUUUUGCCUGCCUCCACUCGCUCCAUCUGUACAAAUGAAAUCUUUUAGACAAAGCCACAUCCCAUGAACAUGGCAGAUGCAAAUCUUCCCUCUGAGGAUAGGGAGUGCAUAAACCAACCAUUUUCAUGUCAGCACUACUGGCAUAUCUCAAUAAACCUAUCUAAUGCAACUACUUCAAACAUUGUAAGCCACUAUUACAUUUCACUGCACACUCUCCAUAUGAAAAGGUUAUUGUUGUUACAGUCUAGAUGCUACUUCACUAAGCUCAUCCUUUGAGAGAAGCUAGAUGCAAAAGUGAAGAUUAUUACCAAGAUAACCCCUCUGUCAGUCCUUGUAAGUUGCUCCUCUGAUCUCAUCCAAAAAUAAGAUUACCCAGAGGCUUUAAUGAACUAUAUUUAAUUGAUGCCUGGUAUUAACUGCACCUUCAUGAGAGAGAUAAUAUCUUUUCCCCAGAUACAUAUCACUCAUACCCUCACAUAAAUCUAGUGUUUGUUGAGUAGGCCCAUUUAUAUCAUCUUACAAAAUGUCACACAGAUCAGUUUUUGCUCCAGUUUCUAAUUUCCUGAUAUAACGGAUAUGCACAUCCACAGUUGCCAGGCAGCAGAUCUCAGGCUGUAGCCUCCACAGCAUUAUUCUUCCCAAUUUCCACAUUAAUUAUUGACAGGUUAAAAUAUAUUAAUUAGUAACAGCCAGGAACAGCAUCCUUCAUUGUUAAACACUGGGAUUACCUGGCAUAGCAAAAGAAGGUGAGUAAUCUUUAGGGCAAUAUCUGAAGGAUUGAUUGAAGCAGAAAUGUACAGAGGAUAUCCUCAGAGGCAGGAGCUCCCUUUUCCAGCAACAGGUAUGUCUUUCUCCUUUGCAUCUGUACCACCAGCACAGGCUCAAGCCUUAUGCUGUGUAGAAGGAGCCACAGCCAGGACUAAUAACUGUGUGAACCCCUAUGUCUGCAUGGCCCCUAAGAAUGUCCCACAAGACUGAGGAAGGGCAAAGUUUGGCAGGUUCAGCUUCUCUUGAAGAAAUCCCUUUAAAGCAUCAUCCAAACCUGGGCCAAAAUAUUAACAAAAUUCCAGACAGACACAGUCCUUUUGAGUUCAGUGUUUCUGAAGAGGAGCUAGACCUUGGGCUUGGUCAUGAUGAGGACUACAUGGUGUUUCUGCUUGCCUUAGUGCAUGGUUGUUACCACUUUGUGCAAGAGACUGCAGGAAUAAGUGUUCCUGAUGGAGGUUCAGCAACAUAAGUGCAUGAGAGAAAAAGGAAGACAGCCUGUCAUGCUUGCUAGCAGUGCCUGGAUGGACCACAUUCCUUACAGCUGAGGAAACUGCAGUCCUUGGGGCUGAUGAUGAGAUUUCCCCCAGGGUACACAAUCUCUUCUCUUAGUAGAAAAAAGUGCCUGGUCAAGCACACAUAGUGCUGGGAGGUACACAACCUGUACAACUGGGAAAAAGGCAGCAAAGCCAAAAAACAUCAGGUCCAGCAUCUACUACUGAUAAUUACUUGAAAGGUAACCAGUCCCAAGAAGUUUUCCCCAUCAGAAUGCAAAGAAAAUAUCUUAUUUCUCACACUCCCUGCUGAAUACAAAAUGGGAGGGGAGCAAAAAUUCUCAAAAUAUUAAUACUAAGAUAACCAUUCAUAUAUAAACAAUACGCAAGAUCACUGUGUUUCUCUGAUGAUACUAGUUUAAAGAGCUGCCAUCCAACUGUAUGAACACUUAUUUGCACACAUGCAUACAUCAAAGGACUCUAGCCUACCCCAAAACCUUCUCCUAAAACGGUGUCAUAACUCAUUGCCAGGAAAAUUGUUUAGACAUCAUAUACUUCCAACAGGUAAGAUCAAAGGGAACCAUGUAUGAAAAACAGAAUUCUCCAUCUAUCUGUUCACACAAUCUGCUUCUAUACCUUUAAGAAACAGAAAGCCAAAUACACCAGGAAACUCAGCUUGUCACAUGCACAAGCUAACCACCUGUUGCUGGGUGAAAUCAGAAAAAAUCUUCCUCUGAUUCUAUACACAUGAAAUGUUGGAGACUGCCUUCCCAGUAAGAGUGCAUCUGCUGAUCCUUGCUUUGCCCAUCCUCUGUCUAGUCCUUAACUAUUCAUGAGCCAGGGAUUAUUGAUUUCCAGGCUUUAAUGCAGGUUCUGAUUAUACAUUGAGGUCUUAAUGGAUAACUAGAGGAAUGAUUUGUCACUGUUCAGCCUUUUGAAAAAUUUCUAGUGGCCAGCACAACCUUGCCUGGUUUGUUUUGCCAAUGUGAUUUAAGACUGAGGGUGUGCCUCUGGAGGUUGCAGGCUAGGCAUAUGCUUUCCUACCUGACCCCUGGAAUUAAACUUCUCUUCUAUGGUACUGAAAGUCUUCCAUCCCCAUUCAUUCAGCAGGAGUUUGAGAACACUGAGCAUUGGAGUGAUAUUCCUGGUGCAUUCCUUGAAAGUGAUCCUGAAAGCACAAAGACAGACACAAACAAGGCUCUAAGGGAUCAAAUGCCUUGUCUGUCUCAUCUCUCUCUAUUUAGAGAGAAAAUACUCUUUUUCAUCUGUUGCCCUUUUCAUUUCAUUUCAAAGAGCACACAUUUUUUUCCACAUUAAAGUGUCUUCAUCUGCAGCCAAAUAAAAACAUUUUGAUA
rnacentral:lncRNA from 1 species